AGCCGUGCUUGGGUCACCCAAUCCCGGCUGCACUCCGGGCUGGGAAGCCGCCUUGAGUGGAGGAAAACGUGGGAAGUGGAGGAAAUUGUACUGGGAAUGCUGAAGGUGAAGGAAAACUUGGGAGGUGGAGGGAAUGACACUGGGAAUGUUGGGAUUUUUCACCCCAAAUCACGUAGUCAGCAGCCCUGGGAUUAGCAACACCCUGCAAUGAUGCAGUUCUCUUCUGCAAGGUGAGGCAGCACCAGGUGGGGUGAAAAGGGGGGCAAGGGACAGCAGGCAGGUGUCGCUGAGCCCUGUGAACCCGGUGGGAUGUUCCCAGCUCUGGAAGUGGGCUGACGCCAUCUGCCAGCAGCAAAACCCUUCAUCCUGGGUCAGCUCAUCCCAGGGAUGCUGCCAAGAGACUUUUCCCAUCGCUUCAAGAAGGACACUGAGGUGCUGCAGCGUCUGUGGAGAAGAGCAGUGAGGCUGGUGAAGAGCCGUGUGAGGAGCAGCUGAGGGAGCUGGGGCUGUUUAGUCUUCAGAAGAAGAGGCUGAGGGGAGACUUUAUCACUCUCUACGACUGCCUCAAAGGAGGUUGGAGUGAGGUGGGGAUUGGUCGCUGCAUAUAUGCAACAAGUGACAGGACAAGAGGGAACAGCCUCAAGUUGCACCAAAGGAGGCUCAGGAUGGGUAUUAGGAACAAUUUCUUCCCAGGAAGGGUUCUCAGGCACUGGAAGAGGCUGCCCAGGGAGGUGGUGAAGUUCAUCAUCCCUGGAGGUGUUCUAAAAGCUCCAGGGUGUUUGGUGACAACAGCUUCAAAGGCAGCCGUUGCAGCCCCACCACAUCGCUGGGGUUCCUCCAGACAAAAUAGAUUAGCUCAUCCCGACGCUCUCCUCCCCGUCCCUCCAGCCCCGAGCGGUCAGACGCCCGACGCGGUGCCGCGGCCGGAUAUAAUGGGGCUAUUAGAUGAGUUAUCACAGCCUGAAAGGAUGAAAUAACUUCUGUGUCUUCUGUCCAAAUAAACCUCCCUAUUCCUCUUCAAUGCAAGGAAAGAACAAGAGUUCCCAGAGGAAAUGGCCAGGAGAAUGUUAGAAGAUGUUAGAUGCUGUUACUUUAGACCCGACCUCCUGCCAACCCAUUUCCUGCUCCCGCUGGAAGGGUGCUAGGGGUUCCUCCCUGGGGAAUUGGGAGGCCCAAGGAGCAAUUCCCAACAGCUGGAGCUCAAUCUUCACCCAGGUGCUCCUUCAACAGAUCACAAAGUCACAGAACGAUAGGGAUCAGAAGGGACCUCUGGAGAGCAUCGAGUCACAGCUCACAGGAUGUUAGGGGUUGGAAGGGACCCAAGGAGAUCAUUGAAACCAACCCCCCUGCCAGAGCAGGGCAAUCCUACCUAACACAGAUCACACAGGAACACAUCCAGACAGGCUUUGAGAGGCUCCAGAGGAGACUCCACAACCUCUCUGGGCAGCCUGUGCCAGAGCUCUGGGACCC